rnacentral:rRNA from 1 species
AUACAAUGAAGAGUUUGAUCCUGGCUCAGGAUGAACGCUAGCUACAGGCUUAACACAUGCAAGUCGAGGGGCAGCAUAACGAAAGCUUGCUUUUGUUGAUGGCGACCGG